CCUACGGGUGGCUGCAGUGGGGAAUAUUGGACAAUGGGCGAAAGCCUGAUCCAGCCAUGCCGCGUGUGUGAAGAAGGCCUUCGGGUUGUAAAGCACUUUCAGUGGGGAAGAAAGCCUUGGGGCUAAUACCCUCGAGGAAGGACAUCACCCACAGAAGAAGCACCGGCUAACUCCGUGCCAGCAGCCGCGGUAAUACGGAGGGUGCGAGCGUUAAUCGGAAUUACUGGGCGUAAAGCGCGCGUAGGCGGUCUGAUAAGCCGGUUGUGAAAGCCCCGGGCUCAACCUGGGAACGGCAUCCGGAACUGUCGAGGGAGAGGGCAGGAGGGGAGGGUAGAAGUCCCGGUGUAGCGGUAAAAGGCGUAGAGAUCGGGAGGAAUACAGGGGGGGGAGGGGGCCUUCGGGACGGACACGGACGCUGAGGGGCGAAAGCGGGGGUAGCAAACAGGAUUAGAUACCCCUGUAGUC
rnacentral:rRNA from 1 species